rnacentral:rRNA from 1 species
AGUGAACGCUGGCGGUAGGCCUAACACAUGCAAGUCGAACGGCAGCACAGUAAGAGCUUGCUCUUACGGGUGGCGAGUGGCGGACGGGUGAGGAAUACAUCGGAAUCUACUUUUUCGUGGGGGAUAACGUAGGGAAACUUACGCUAAUACCGCAUACGACCUACGGGUGAAAGCAGGGGAUCUUCGGACCUUGCGCGAUUGAAUGAGCCGAUGUCGGAUUAGCUAGUUGGCGGGGUAAAGGCCCACCAAGGCGACGAUCCGUAGCUGGUCUGAGAGGAUGAUCAGCCACACUAGAACUGAGACACGGUCCAGACUCCUACGGGAGGCAGCAGUGGGGAAUAUUGGACAAUGGGCGCAAGCCUGAUCCAGCCAUACCGCGUGGGUGAAGAAGACCUUCGGGUUGUAAAGCCCUUUUGUUGGGAAAGAAAAGCAGCAGGUUAAUACCCCGCUGUUCUGACGGUACCCAAAGAAUAAGCACCGGCUAACUUCGUG